rnacentral:tRNA from 2 species
ACUUGAAUAGCUUAUUUUAGAGCGUGACAUUGAAGAUGUCAAUGAGGUUGAUUUUACCUUUAAGUA